UGGUGGGUAGUUUGACUGGGGCGGUCUCCUCCUAAAGAGUAACGGAGGAGCACGAAGGUUGGCUAAUCCUGGUCGGACAUCAGGAGGUUAGUGCAAUGGCAUAAGCCAGCUUGACUGCGAGCGUGACGGCGCGAGCAGGUGCGAAAGCAGGUCAUAGUGAUCCGGUGGUUCUGAAUGGAAGGGCCAUCGCUCAACGGAUAAAAGGUACUCCGGGGAUAACAGGCUGAUACCGCCCAAGAGUUCAUAUCGACGGCGGUGUUUGGCACCUCGAUGUCGGCUCAUCACAUCCUGGGGCUGAAGUAGGUCCCAAGGGUAUGGCUGUUCGCCAUUUAAAGUGGUACGCGAGCUGGGUUUAGAACGUCGUGAGACAGUUCGGUCCCUAUCUGCCGUGGGCGCUGGAGAACUGAGGGGGGCUGCUCCUAGUACGAGAGGACCGGAGUGGACGCAUCACUGGUGUUCGGGUUGUCAUGCCAAUGGCACUGCCCGGUAGCUAAAUGCGGAAGAGAUAAGUGCUGAAAGCAUCUAAGCACGAAACUUGCCCCGAGAUGAGUUCUCCCUGAGACUUUAGGUCUCCUGAAGGAACGUUGAAGACGACGACGUUGAUAGGCCGGGUGUGUAAG
rnacentral:rRNA from 1 species